rnacentral:lncRNA from 1 species
UUUAAUUGCACAAGGUCCUUGAAGAGUUGAAUAAAUCAGAGAUUUACCUGGAGAUUUGCGAUUGACAGGGUCCUGAUCCUGAUGAUGUUGUGGCACUUAAAUCAAGCAAAAAUCAGCCACAUUUCCACAAAUCAUGGCCCGCCACCCUUGGAUGAAUUUGCAAAAGGUGGACACUCCUAUUUUUAGCAAACUAGCUCCCUUGCCUCACCUAUAAAUAAGACCCUAUUUCUUACUUUUCUAAACAUCCCUCAUCCCUCAAUCAUCC